rnacentral:misc_RNA from 1 species
GAACGCACAUUGCGCCCAUUAGUAUUCUAGUGGGCAUGCCUGUUCGAGCGUCAUUUAAGUCCAUUAAGCCUAGUUGCUUAGCGUUGGGAGCAUUACCGUACGGUAACUCCUCAAAGUCAGUGGCAGGGUUGCAGGUGCACUCUUAGCGUAGUAGAUUUAUUACCGCUUACGAUUGUCCCGUAGCCGUCGCCAUAAGCCUAUAUUUUUUAUUGGUUGACCUCGGAUCAGGUAGGAAUACCCGCUGAACUUAAG